CUACGGGAGGCAGCAGUGGGGAAUAUUGGACAAUGGGGGAAACCCUGAUCCAGCAAUGCCGCGUGUGUGAAGAAGGCCUGCGGGUUGUAAAGCACUUUCGGUUGGGAGGACUGCUUCUAGCACUAAUAUUGUUGGAAGUUGACGUUACCUUCAGAAGAAGCACCGGCUAUCUCCGUGCCAGCAGCCGGCGGUAAUACGGAGGGUGCAAGCGUUAAUCGGAAUUACUGGGCGUAAAGCGCGCGUAGGCGGCUAGAUCAGUCGGGUGUGAAAGCCCCGGGCUUAACCUGGGAACUGCAUCCGAUACUGUCUAGCUUGAGUACAGGAGAGGAGAGUGGAAUUCCACAUGUAGCGGUGAAAUGCGUAGAUAUGUGGAGGAACACCAAUGGCGAAGGCAGCUCUCUGGCCUGAUACUGACGCUGAGGUGCGAAAGCGUGGGGAGCAAACAGGAUUAGAUACCCGUGUAGUC
rnacentral:rRNA from 1 species